rnacentral:rRNA from 1 species
GUUUGAUCCUGGCUCAGGAUGAACGCUAGCGGCAGGCCUAACACAUGCAAGUCGAACGGUAACAUGAGAGCUUGCUCUUGAUGACGAGUGGCGCACGGGUGCGUAACGCGUAUGCAACCUACCUUUUACUGAGGGAUAGCCCAGAGAAAUUUGGAUUAAUACCUCAUAGUAUCAUAAAUGUUCAUGCAUUAAUGAUUAAAACUUCGGUGGUAAAAGAUGGGCAUGCGUAAGAUUAGCUAGUUGGUAAGGUAACGGCUUACCAAGGCGACGAUCUUUAGGGGGCCUGAGAGGGUGGUCCCCCACACUGGUACUGAGACACGG